rnacentral:rRNA from 1 species
GACGAACGCUGGCGGCGUGCUUAACACAUGCAAGUCGAACGGAAAGGCCCUGCUUUUGGGGGGUGCUCGAGUGGCGAACGGGUGAGUAACACGCGAGUAACCUGCCCUUGACUUUGGGAUAACUUCAGGAAACUGGGGCUAAUAACGGCUAGAAGCUCCUGCUUCAUGGUGUGGGGUGGAAAUUUUCGGCGGUUGGGGAUGGACUCGCGGCUUAUCAGCUGGGUGGUGGGGUAGUGGCGUACGACGGCUUUGACGGGUAGCCGGCCUGGGAGGGUGACAGGCCACAUUGGGCCUGAGGUAGGAGCCAGAAUGCUACGGGCGGCAGCAGUGGAGAACAUUGCGCACUGGGCCGAAGCCUGAUGCAGCGACGCCGGGUGCGGAAUGACGGCUUUCGGGUUGUAAACGGCUUUCGCCUGAGACGAAGAGUGAGUGACGGUACUGGGUAAGGAAGCAACGGCUAACUACGUG